GCCAAUGAAUAUUAAUCGGUAAAUAUUAUAGUUUUAGUGGCGAUAAGAAUAUAGACGGUAAAGUUUUAUUUUUUACUUUUUGUAUUCCCUCCAUAUUCUAAUUUUUUCUCUAAAUUCUCUCCCGCAAAAAUGUUAUACCCUCUCGUACUCUCUCAUACCUAGAAAUUAGAUUAAAGAAAACAAUUCAUACGGCCACCAUCACUUUGCUCUCUAAAUUAAAUUUCCGGCCAGCAUCACUUUGCUCUCUAAAUCACCAUCGGCAACCAAAUUUCUGGCCACCAUCAAAAUUCUUGGUAAGUAUUUCUACUUAUCUUUAGGUUUUUAAUUGGGUAGGUCUAUGAGUUGAUGAAAAUUUCUAAUUUCUGGGUAUGAGAGAUUUAAUUCUUGAAUGAGAAUUUUCUUAGUAUCUUUUCUAAUUUGGUAUUGGUGGUUUGUAUAAUUUUCUAGAUUCAAGAAUCUAAUUACUCCUUCGUGCUUGAGUUUUGACUGUAUCAAAACUGCCCAAAACGUGAUUUUCCGAACUCUUGAUAUUCCUUGUAGUUGGAGGACCAUCUAAACUAGAGCGUUGUGCUUCUGUAAUUUCUAAAACUGAUUGUUAGGUAGUUCUCUCCUAAUAUCUGCAUAGUGCAUCUGUUGGCUCCAAAAGCUUUGAGUCGCGUUUAUGAAAUAAUAUCUUACACAAACAUUAAGAUUAAUUAAUUAUGAGAUUUCACGUAAAGAACCUAUAUUUUGGGAUGAUGAACUCAGGGCUCAUGCCGAUAGUUCUAUUAUGAUCACAUUGAUCGGUAAAAAAGCCGAUCUAGUCGACUUGAGGGCAGUUUCAACUGAAGAUGCAGUCGAAUUUGCAGAGAGGCAAGGGUUGUUUUUUCUGAGACAUCAGCUCUUAGCGGCCACAAUAUAGAGUCAACAUUCUUGAAACUAUUGGAAGAAAUAUAUAAAGUGGUGUCAAGGAAGACUUUGGUGUUAGGUUCUAGUGCUCAUGGAAAUCACAUCAAAGAAACCAAUAAUGGGUUGCUUAAAGGAUUGAAAAUUGAUGUUAUUUCUGGUUAUGAUUUUGAGGUCAGUGAGAUGAAGAAAUUAUUUUCUUGCUCUUGCUAAUAUUACUAGCUUUUGGGAUGCUAAAAUAUAUAUUUGAACGAAAAGAAACUAUGAAAUAGAUAAAUAUGACAAGUGUGUCAAAAAUGUGCUUGUAGAUGGGAAGCUUGUCAAGAAUUUUGCUUUAUCUUAGAUUAUUUUGGGAUGUGGAACGGUUUGCGAUCAAUAAGUAAUAUUUUACUACCUAUAUUAAGCACAAAUCUGACAAAAAUGGCCAAUAACUAAAAACUUUAUUAAAUAAAAAGAAGUGUGGGUUUAAUGGGAUAUGAAAGAGGGACAGGGCCAAAAAGAACUAACUGGCCUUAUCCAAGAGGAUAGGAUUUGAAAUACCAUCCUCUCCGGUGCAAAUGGAUAAGUAAAAAUUAAUAUUAAUUCCACAGUGGUGGUAAAAAAAGAAGAAGAUGAUUUUCAUGGAUGCUAAUUCUGUCCACAUGUCGUAUCGAUCCAUUAGAGAAACGUCAAGUUUCUGAAACUUUGAUGUGAACUGUCUUUUCCAAGACAUUCAAAUGGAUUAUAAAAAAAUAAAAACUUCCCAUAGUGCUUCUGUAAUUUCUAAAACUGAAUGUUUGGCAGUUCUCUGCUAAUAUCUGCAUAGUGCAUCUGUUCGUUCCAAUAGCUAUUUCUAAUCAGUCAGAUGUCUAAUUUUUUUUACUAUUUCUUUAAAGGUUAUUGAGACAUCAUUGUUGUUUAACUCUCAAUCUUUUCUUUUUAUGUAGGUUUCGAGAUUGUUGCAGAAAUUGUUCUUAUCGUUCACUUUUUUAUCUUCAUCAUCAAAGUAUUCUGCCUACCAGGUACCCAAACUCUUGAGCCUAAGACGAUGUGUGACGUCUAACUAUGGCAGUUUGUGUGAUAAUUGUUUUGCCAACUAUGUUGUGAUUUGUGAUUGGAUGUUGUUAAAUUGGAGUGCAACUGAUUGAAUUGAAUCCUUUGUUUUUCCUAAUGUUAUAUAUUUACUUUCGAUUGUUAAAAGUUAUUUAUAGCAGACUAUACUUAAAGAUAAUCCUAUUAAUUUAAGCAUAAAGUAAUUUUAUUUGAAUCGUGGAUUUAAAUGGAUAUGAACUAUUGGGUUUGUAAGCUUUCAAUAUCUCUUCGUGUUAAUACUCUAUUGAUUUGACUAUGUUAAUUUUAUUCAGAUAUAUUUGUGAUUUGGAUUAUGUUAUAAAAAUAUUGUUAGUUCUAGUUGCUUUUGUACUUUAAAUCACGAAAGUAUUACUCAAUGAUUGCUAUGCUAGGUGAAUGUCUUUUAAGAUUGCUACAUGUUAAGAAAAUAAAUGAUCAAUUUUAAAUCUACUAGUUUAAAUAUUAAACAUUCCAGCUGGAAUGAUAAGUUAGUUUCUGUUCACUCACCUACCGUAAGUUAGUAAUGCAAAUGUUAAUUUAAUAUGUGUUUUUAAUGUCUCACGUAUCUUGUUCAUAGGUUCAGUCGUUGUUUUUGAAUUAAAACUAGAGUUAUAUUGCAUGUCCAAACUACCGAAUCUAAGUUAGCAGUUUGAAGUGUCUCACUUUAUAAAAUAGAAGUGAUACUUUUGAGGAAAACUCUUAUUUAACUGAAUUACAUGUGUAGCAAGAGAAUAUAAGUUUUAUUUUUAUAAAUCCUUCUAAUGCAAAGACAUUAUAGUUAUUUAGCUGAAUUAUAGUUUUUAUAAAUCCUUCUAUUACAAAAUCAGCCCUUCCAUUUUCCUUAUUCUCGCUCAUUGUAUUAUUUGUCUCAGCUGCAAUUGUUAUAGGUUGUCUCUGAUUUUCAGGAAAUUGUUCUGUUCUAGCUAGUAACUCAUCUCCUAUGUUCAUCACCUAGAGAUUCUUUUCCUUCACAACUUCUGUUAAAGUAUUAGUUCCUCUGUUAUCCUUGUUCUCCCCCACAUUGUUAGUUGUCUCAGUUGUUCUUGUAGUAGGUUGUCUCUGUGGUUCAGGAACUUGAUUGAUUGGUAUAUAGAUUUGUUUGGUCACUUUUCUUUCGUUUUGUGCUUUGGCAUUGAUUUGCAUAUGAGCUAUUGUUGUACUACUUUCUCCUUGGGCAAUUUCUUUCCCCUUGGUAGUAAUCUUCUUUGGUUGUUGUUGGUUCACCAUUAUGUUAGGUGAGGUAGUUGGCUACUCUAACAGUGAUGGAAUGAUCAAGAUAUUGUUUCACAUUAUACUUUAUCUUUUGACACAAUUAUUUAAUUUCAGGUCAUACUGUCUGAUGUUGGAUAAUUUAGCGAGUGAAAGAUUUCAAAAUCAUAAAAACUAUCAUUCGUCUGGAUUAGUUAUAUAAUGACAUUGGCUAUUUGGUCUAAACAAUAUAUUUUUAUGUUUUAAAUUACUGUGAUACUAAUGUUUUUGAUUAGUACUUUCUUUUGUUUGUUAAGAUUAAUGAGAUACAUUAUGUUUUUUUUUGAAUUAAUAUUAAUAUAUUUUAUUAUUUGAGUCUUAUUUUGUACGAAUGUAGUAACUAUUAUUAAUUGUGGCUAAAUUAUUUAUAAUUCAUGUAAAAAAUUAUCGUUAAAGAUAUUGACAUUUAGCGGCAAUUUAGUUAAACAUAUUAGCCAUUAGAAUAGAAUAUAAAAGGGCAAACUAAGAUGUUUUCAGAAGGAAUAUUGUGG
rnacentral:lncRNA from 1 species